rnacentral:tRNA from 1 species
GCACUGGCAGUUCAGUGGUAGAGUUUUCCCUUUCCAUACAGGAGGCCUGGGUUCUAUUCCCAGCCAGUGCA